rnacentral:rRNA from 1 species
AGUUUGAUCCUGGCUCAGGAUGAACGCUAGCUACAGGCUUAACACAUGCAAGUCGAGGGGCAGCAUGAUCUUAGCUUGCUAAGAUUGAUGGCGACCGGCGCACGGGUGAGUAACGCGUAUCCAACCUUCCCCUUAGUAGGGCAUAGCCCGGCGAAAGUCGGAUUAAUACCCUAUGUUUUCCGAUGAGGACAUCUGAGCUGGAAUAAAGAUUUAUCGCUAAGGGAUGGGGAUGCGUCUGAUUAGGUAGUCGGCGGGGUAACGGCCCACCGAGCCUACGAUCAGUAGGGGUUCUGAGAGGAAGGUCCCCCACAUUGGUACUGAGACACGGACCAAACUCCUACGGGAGGCAGCAGUGAGGAAUAUUGGUCAAUGGGCGAGAGCCUGAACCAGCCAAGUAAGCGUGCAGGAUGACGGCCCUAUGGGUUGUAAACUGCUUUUAUCGGGGGAUAAAGUGAGGGACGCGUCCCUUUUUGUAGGUACCCGAUGAAUAAGGACCGGCUAAUUCCGUGCCAGCAGCGGC